UUAGUGUUUCCACAGUGGAAAAGCUAUGAACCUCUACUGGACUUGGAAAUUACAUUACUUGAGAAUGCAGAGUGCAAGAAUGCUGGAGGCCUAGCUAACGUGAUCUUCUCUAAGGCAUUGAAAACACAAACAAGACAAAGAAAGAAGAAAACAAAAAUUGAUAGAAACAAGGAAUGAUGUGGCUAGCACGGAGGCAUCAGGAGCCCUCAGGACACUUCUGUGCUCUGAAAUGCACCCUGCACUGCAGCAUUAUGAAAGGAAAAAUGAAACAGU